rnacentral:rRNA from 1 species
CCUACGGGAGGCAGCAGUGGGGAAUAUUGCACAAUGGGGGAAACCCUGAUGCAGCGACGCCGCGUGAGUGAAGAAGGAAUUCGUUAUGUAAAGCUCGAUCAGCAGGGAAGAAAAUGACGGUACCUGAGUAAGAAGCCCCGGCUAACUACGGUCCAGCCGCGGCGGUAAUACGUAGGGGGCAAGCGUAAUCCGGAUUUACUGGGUGGAAAGGGAGCGUAGACGGCAGUGCAAGUCUGGAGUGAAAGGCGGGGGCUCAACCCCCGGACUGCUCUGGAAACUGUACGGCUGGAGUGCAGUAGAGGUAAGUGGAAUUCCUAGUGUAGCGGUGAAAUGCGUAGAUAUUAGGAGGAACACCAGUGGCGAAGGCGGCUUACUGGACUGUAACUGACGUUGAGGCUCGAAAGCGUGGGGAGCAAACAGGAUUAGAUACCCGGGUAGUC